CAGCAAUGUGUGGCAUACGGCUCAGUAACACGUAGUCAACGUGCCCAGGGGACGUGGAUAACCUCGGGAAACUGAGGAUAAACCGCGAUAGGUCACUGCUUCUGGAAUGGGCAAUGACCCAAACCUACAUGGCCCCUGGAUUGGACUGCGGCCGAUCAGGCUGUUGGUGAGGUAAUGGCCCACCAAACCUGUAACCGGUACGGGCUCUGAGAGGAGGAGCCCGGAGAUGGGCACUGAGACAAGGGCCCAGGCCCUAUGGGGCGCAGCAGGCGCGAAACCUCUGCAAUAGGCGAAAGCCUGACAGGGUUACUCUGAGUGAUUUCCGUUAAGGAGAUCUUUUGGCACCUCUAAAAAUGGUGCAGAAUAAGGGGUGGGCAAGUCUGGUGUCAGCCGCCGCGGUAAUACCAGCACCCCGAGUGGUCGGGACGUUUAUUGGGCCUAAAGCAUCCGUAGCCGGUUCCACAAGUCUUCCGUUAAAUCCACCUGCUCAACAGAUGGGCUGCGGAAGAUACUAUGGAGCUAGGAGGCGGGAGAGGCGAGCGGUACUCGAUGGGUAGGGGUAAAAUCCGUUGAUCCAUUGAAGACCACCAGUGGCGAAGGCGGCUUGCCAGAACGCGCUCGACGGUGAGGGAUGAAGGCUGGGGGAGCAAACCGGAUUAGAUACCCGGGUAGUCCCAGCUGUAAACGAUGCAGACUCGGUGAUGAGUUGGCUUUACGCCAACUCAGUGCCGCAGGGAAGCCGUUAAG
rnacentral:rRNA from 1 species